rnacentral:lncRNA from 1 species
ACUUGGCACCCCUUACGCCUUACGGUGGCCGCUGCGCCCAGUCACAUCUAUUGCAUUUCUCUGGAAUGACCACAGCAAUAUUUCCAGCCCUUGAUGAUCUUCUAGAACUUUGCCACUUCCCUGCAUCAAGAGGGUUUGUCUUGGUCCAUUUUAUGCUGCUAUAACAGAACACCACAGACUGAGAAAUUUAUAAGGAAUAGAAGUUUAUUUGCCUCAUGUUUCUGGAGGCUGGGAAUUCCAAGAUCAAGGGGCUGCAUAGAUUGAGGUCCUUUUUGCUGACUCAUAACGUGGAAAGAGAGUGCACUGCAUAGAAGAAAGGAGGCCAAACUCAUUCUUUUAUCAUGAGCCUACUCCUGAAAUAACUCACUCUCAAGAUAAUGGCAUUAAUCCAUUCAUGAAGGCAGAAUACUCAUGAUGUAAUCACCUCUUAAAAGGUCCUAUUUCCUAACACUGUUGCAUUAGGGAUUAAGCUGUCAACACAUGAAUAUUGGGGGACACAUUCAAACCAUAGCAAGAGUUCUUUGUCUUUGUGACUCGGUGUGGUUCAGCAAAUUGCGAUUGGUCUGCUAUAGCGGACUUUCCCCUCACCUCCCAAAUGUUUAUUAUGAAAAAUUUCAUUUUAAAGAAAGGUGGAAGGAAUUGUUGAAAGAAUAUGUCAUCUAGUUUCUACUGUUGUUAACAUUGUGUCAUAUUUGCCUUUUCAUCCAUCCAACCACCCAUCCAUCUAGCUACCUUAUAAUUACUAUUAUUACUUAUUAUUACUAUUAUUUUUAAAGACACCUCUAUUAAAGCAACCAUCUUAUUUUUUGAUUUUAUUUAUUUUCAAAGUUAGUUGCAGACAUUAGUAUACUUUACUCCUAGACAUUUUAGCGUGAACAUAAUUAACUGGAGUAUAAUACUUGUUUUCAAUUUCUUUUUAUUUUUGAGGUAAAAUUUACAUACAGUGAAAUCCAAAUCUUAAGUGUACCACUAGAUAAAUUUUGAUAAAUGCAUUAUGCCUGGUCUUCACACACCCUUUUCAAUAUAUAGAAAAUUUCCAGAUAAUUUAUUUUGUUGUUUUUUUCACACACUAAGUUCUAGACUUUUCCAGGUCCGAGGGAACUAUUAGGGGGGAAAGUACUUGUUAUAGUAAAAAAGAUUUUAGGUGUGUUUGUUUUUAAGGUGCAGAAACACAUCGCAGAUUAAGGUCUGCAUCUCUGCUUUUUGUUAUUGUUCCAGUUUGAUCUCAGUGACAUUACAAGCAAGCAGAAACACUCAGACAUGAAAUGGCCAGUGCCUGUGAGUUAAGAGCAGGAUCUAGGUCUAUUUUUUUGAUAUGUAUCUCAACUACCUGGAAUACUUUAUACUUUUGGCACUCAAUAAAUAUUUGUUGCUGCCAGACGAUCUGCCACAAAAAUUUACUGGGUCUAUUUUAUGGCUAUUGUUUGUUCACCUUGAAAAUAAUCAUGGGAUCAUAGAAGUCAAAGUCAUGGAGAGCAGCACAGAGGUUUCUCAGCUGUUGAUAAGUUCUUUACAGUAAAGCAGGGUUAAAUGUAGAAGGUAUGAUACUGAGAGCUUCUCAAAGGUACAGAGGUGAAUAGAGGAAAAAGAGCAGAUAAAUUCAGACAGAAUGUCGUUAAGGUCCUAGCAGAAAAAAGACCUGAAUUCGGAGUUCUCUUAUGCUUUCUACUGGAGUUCCAACUCUGUGCUUGACCUUUCCAGGGCCUGCAGGUGCAUGAAGAUGGGUGGUUACUAUUCCUAGAAAAUGUUUAUGUAGAAAAAUACUGAUACAUGCUGAUAUGGUUUGACUGUGUCCCCACCCAAAUCUCAUCUUGAAUGGAACAUAUUGCAAAGUGGUAGCAUGAUAUUUUACUAAACUAAGUUACUGUCAAGACAUUCAGAGAUAUUUUUAAAUGGUACACCAAAUUUCAACACCCUAAAUGCUCACUCAAGCUGAUUACAAAUGAUUGCUUGCCAUUCUUUGUGUAUGAGUGUGAUUACCACCUGCAGUAACUUAAAGACGACUAUUCAGGGUGAAAUCUGCCUCUGAAUUGCCAUCCUGGUCACAAAUCUUUUCCUUCCCAAGUGGAAAUCUUCUCCAGAAGAAAUAAUAACAAUAGUAUUUUGGUUAGUGUUCAGUUGUGGAGAGUAAAACUCACUCUAGCUAGUUUAAGCAGUAAGGUGUUCAUCACGGAGCAUUAAAUGGCCCACAGAUUUUAGGUUGAGUGUCCAGGAAUGGUUCCCAAAGCCACAUUGGCUGUCAAGGGAUUAUGCCUUUGCUACCAUUAGAAAGCCAUGGUAUAAGAAAGAUACCAUCACAGCUGUUAGCUCUAGAGCCUCUGCUAUCAGUGGAAAAUAGCCUACCAAGUUAGGAAACCUUUGCUACAGCUGCUGUCCCAGGCUGCCACUGCAGUUCUAAGGCACAUCAACAAAAUUGGAUUCCAGACUCUAGGCUGAGUGUCAUUCCUGGACACUCAACCUAGAAGUUUAACAUCUAAUUGUAGGAACUUAAAUCUAGAAUCCUAGGUGCAAGGGAUUGGGAAAUGGUGCAAGGGAUUUAGUCCCAUUAUAUUAAAAGAAGUUAGAAUGCAUGCUUACUGGCCAGUGUUUACUAGAAAUAUCUAACAUUUGUCAAGAACCUGUACGUGAGUCACGGUAAUUACUUCUUCACAUGAAUGAUCUGAGUCUUACAACCACCCAAUUAGGUAGUUACGUCCUAUUAGUGAGAUACUAUUAUUAUAGCCACUUUUACAGGUGAGGAAUCUGCUGGUAGGAAAAGUUAUUUUCUCAAGCUCGGGUCACAGAACAGAACAUGGUGAAAUUGGCAUUUGAACCUAAGUGUGUUUGACUCUAAAUUCUGGAAUCUGGUCUCUUAACAAUCAUACUAUACUGUUUCUACUAUCUUUACCAAUUAAGUGAAAAGAAAAUUAGUUUAAAAGAUAUUUGGAUAUCAUCAAUCAUCAAGACACUGUGCUAAGAUCAUACAUAAAUUUUUUUUUUUUUUGAGACAGUCUUGCCUGUCACCCAACCUGAAGUGCAGUGGCAUGAUCUCGGCUCACUGCAGACUCCGCAUCCUAGGUUCAAGCAAUUCUCCUGCCUCAGUCCCCAAGUAACUGGGAUUACAGGUGUGUGCCACCAUGCCUGGCUAAUUUUUGUAUUUUUAGUAGAGAUGGGGUUUCACCAUGUUGACCAGACUGGUCUCGAACUCCUGACCUUGUGAUCUGACUGCCUUGGCCUCCCAAAGUGCUGGGGUUACACGUGUGAGGAUGGCAUUAAUCUAGAGGUAAACUAUAGGCACAAUUAUUAUACAAGGUAGGAAGUAAAUGUCAUAAGAGAGUAUAGACAAAAUGCCCUUGGAAUUAUUUGGAGAGAUUUACUCAGAGAAUUCAGAAAGAAGUUUAGCUAACACUGGGCUUUGAAGGGUAAAUGGUUUUUGAACAUUCAGAAAAGGAAGAAGGUUACUUGUAUCAGGCUGUUCUCAUGCUGCUAAUAAAGACAUACAUGAGACUCAGUAAUUUAUAAAGAAAAGAGGUUUAAAUGACUCACAGUUCAGCAUGUCUUGGGGAGGCCUCAUGAAACUUACAAUCAUGGCAGAAGAGGAAGCAAACACAUCCUUCACAUGGAGGCAGCAAGGAAAAGUGCAGAGCUGAUAUGAUUUGGCUGUGUCCCCACCCAGAUCUCAUCUUGAAUUCCCAUGUGUUGUGGGAGGGACCCAGUGGGAGAUGAUUGAAUGAUGGGGGCAGAUAUUUCCCGUGCUGUUCUCAUGAUAGUGAAUAAGUCUCAUGAGAUCUUAUGGUUCUACAAGGGGGAGUUUCCCUGCACAAGCUCUCUCUCUUUGCCUGCUGCCAUCCAUGUAAGAUGUGACUUGCUCCUCUUUGCCUUCCACCAUGAUUUUGAGGCUUCCCCAGCCACGUGGAAUUGUGAGUUCUCUGUUAAACCUCUUUCCUUUGUAAAUUGCCCAGUCUCAGGUAUGUUUUUAUCAGCAGAAUGAAAUGAACUAAUACAGUAAAUUGGUACUGGUAGCAUGGGGUGCUGCUGAAAAGAUACCUGAAAAUGUGCAAGCGACUUUGGAACUGUGUAACGGGCAGGGAUUGGAACAGUUUGGAGGGCUCAGAAGAAGACAGGAAAAUGUGGGACAGUUUGGAACUUCCUAGAGACUUGUUGAAUGGCUUUGCCCAAAAUGCUGAUAGUGAUAUGGAAAAUAAAGUCCAGGCUGAGGUGGUCUCAGAUGGAGAUGAGGAACUUGGGAACUGGAGCAGAGGUGACUCUUGUUAUAUUUCAGCAAAGAGACUGGCAGCAUUUUGCCCCUGCCUUAGAGAUUUGUUGAACUUUGAACUUGAGAGAUGAUUUAGGGUAUCUGGCGGAAGAAAUUUCCAAGCAGCAAAGCAUUCAAGAUGUAACUAGGAUGUGGUUAAAGGCAUUCAGUUUUAUAAGGGAAGCAGAGCAUGAAAGUUUGGAAAAUUUGCAGCCUGACAAUGUGAUAGAAAAGAAAAUCCCAUUUUAUGAGGAAAAAUCCAAGCCGGCUGCAGAAAUUUGCAUAUGUAAUGAGGAGCUGAAUGUUAAUCCCCAAGACAAUGGGGAAAAUGUCUCCAGGGCAUGUCAGAGGUCUUCAUGGCAGCCCUUCCCAUUACAGGCCUAGAGGCCUAGGAGGAAAAGUGGUUUUGUGGUCUGGGCCCAGGGUCCCGUGCUGUGUGCAGCCUAGGGACUUGGUGCCUUAUGUCCCAGCCACUCUAGCUGUGGCUAAAAGGGGCCAAUGUAGAGCUCAGGCCAUGGCUUCAGAGGGUGCAAGCCUGAAGCCUUGGCAGCUUCCAUGUGGUGUUGAGCCUGCCAGUGCACAGAAAUCAAGAAUUGGGGUUUGGAAACAUCUUCCUAGAUUUCAGAGGAUGUAUGGAAAUGCUUGGAUGUCCAGGCAGAAGUUUGCCACCGGGGCAGGGCCCUCAUGAACCUCUGCUAAGGCAGUGCAGAAGGAAAAUGUCAGGUGGGAGCCCCCACACAUAGUCCCCACUGGGGCACCAUGUAGUGGAGCUGUGAGAAGAAAGUCACCAUCCUGCAGACCCCAGAAUGGUAGAUCCACUGACAGCAUGCAAUGUGUGCCUGGAAAAGCUGCAAACACUCAACACCAGCCCAUGAAAGCAGCAGGGAGUGGGGCUGUACCCUGCAAAGCCACAGGGGUGGAGCUGCCCAUGACCAUAGGAACCCACCUCUUACAUCAGCAUGCCCUGGGUGUGAGACAUGGAGUCAAAGGAGAUCAUUUUGGAUCUUUAAGGUUUGACUGCCCCACUGGAUUUUGGACUUUCAUGGGGCCUGUAACCCCUUUGUUUUGUCCAAUUUCUGCCGUUUGGAAUGGCUGUAUUUAUCCAUUGCCUGUACCCCUAUUGUAUCUAGGAAGUAACUAACUUGCUUUUGAUUUUACAGGCUCACAGGCAGAAGGGACUUGCCUUGUCUCAGAUGAGACUUUGGACAGUGGACUUUCGAGUUAAUGCUGAAAUGAGUUAAGACUUUGGGGGACUGUUGGGAAGGCAUGAUUGGUUUUGAAAUAUGAGGACAUGAGAUUUGGGAUGGCCCAGGGGCAGAAUGAUAUAGUUUGGCUCUGUGUCCCCACCCAAAUCUCAUAUUGAAUUCGCAUGUGUUGUGGGAGGGACCUGGUGGGAGGCAAUUGAAUCAUGGGGGCAGGUCUUUCCUGUGCUGUUCUCAUGGUAGUGAAUAAGUCUCACAAGAUCUGAUGGUUCCAUAAGGGGGAGUUUCCCUGCACAAGCACCCUCUCUUUGCCUGCUGCCAUCCAUGUAAAACGUGACUUGCUCCUCCUUGUCUUCCACCAUGAUUGUGAGGGUUCCCCAGCCACAUGGAACUAUAAGUCCAGUUAAACCUCUUUCUUUUGUAAAUUGCCCAUUCUUAGGUAUAUCUUUAUUAGCAGCAUGAAAACAGACUAAUACAAGAGUGACGGGGGGGAAAGCCCCUUAUAAAACUAUCAGAUCUUGUGAGAACUCACUAUCACUAGAACAGCAUGGAGGUCACCAUCCCCAUUAUUCAUUUACCUCCCACCAAGUCCUCCUGUGACAUGUGGGGAUUAUGUGAACUCAAGUCCAAGAUGAGAUUUGGGAGAGGACGGAGCUAAACCAUAUCAGUAGUUAAUAGUCACAGAAGCUGGAAAUCCUGAGGCAUGUGUGGACUAAUUGCACAUAUUCCAAUUUGGUUAGCACGAACAGCAAAUAAAAUGGAGCAGAGGAAAAUAUGGCUGAAAAGGCUUUGAAUGCUAAGUCAUUUGGAAUUCCUUUUGUAGAUUGUCAGGAACCCUGAAGGUCCUUGAGCAGAGGGGUUACAUGAGAGCUCUGUUAUAUGAAGAUAUUAGGAUCUUUUGGAUAAUCUGGAGUUGGAGGACUAGAGAUCAAAUUAGAUUGGAGCUACAUCUUUACAAAAAAUAAAGAAAUUAGCAGGCAUGGUGAUGUGCACCUGUAGUCCGAGCUACUUGGGAGGCUGAGGUGAGAGGAUCACUUGAGCCUGGGCAGUUGAGACUGCAGUGAACCAUGAUGGUGCUACUGUACUCCAGCCUGGGUGACAGAGAGAGAGCCUGUCUCAAAAAAAAAUUGGAAGCUGAUAUAAUGACUUUUGAGAACUGACAGACAGAUACUCUAAUUUGAUGACAGUGGAAGUGAGAUGAACUGGGUAUGAGGAUUAGAAAAAAGAGAGCUGGACUUAGCAGUUCUUAACAACUAAUUAGAUGUUGAUAGCAAGGAAGAGAGAAGAGUCAGAUUAUUCUGAGGUUUCCUUCCUGGGUCAUGAGAACAAUGAUUUCAUUAAUAAAAGUGUAUAAGGGCAUAAGAAGUGCGUAAGUUCUUAAGAAGAAUAUACUUACAUGGGAAAUUAAUGAGUUCGAUUUUGGAUUUUUCAAGUGAAAACACUGGUGUGACAACCCAAGAGACAUGGCCAACAAAUUUGGAAAUGUGGAAUGGGAGAUCAGAAGAGAAGUCAGACUAGAAGCAUAAGAUUUUAAAUUUAUCUGCAUAUAGCAGUACUCAAGAUAGCUGCACUUCAGUAGCACCUAGAGAGCUUUAAAAAGUACAUGUGCUGGACCCCAGAGAUUCUGAUUUAAUUGGUAAGGCUAAAAAUUUUGAUUUAAUCAGUUUGGUCAGUGAUGCAGAUUUAAUUAGUAUAGGGUAAGGACCUGGUAUUUUUAUAGUUUGUAAAGCUCCCCAGAUGAUUCUAAUGUACAACCAUGUUUGAUAACUACUGACAGAGGUAAUUCAUGAGCAUGAGGUUGGGCAGGAUUUGAAAAGGAUAGUAUAAAAAGAGAGAAAAGAAAGUUAAUGGUAGAGCCCUUUAUAGCAUUUAUGUUCAAUGAGUAGAAAGAGAAGUCAGACAAUAGGCAAAGAGGUAGAAAAUAAACCAGGAAAAGAGCCAGAGAGUUGAGAGGAGUCAGCAAUGCCACAUGCCACAGAGAGCAGAGGAGACUUCUAAGAAAGGAUUUAAUAGAGGCAGGGGGUGGCAUUGGAGGACAUGUUAUAAUUUGCUUUGUACAUGCUUGUUCACUGUUCACUCCUGGUUAAGUUACAAAUUCAUAAUUAAAAGGAAGAAGCUGAGAGAUGAAAAGCUGAGAAAGUGCUUAGACAGGCAAGUUUACUGGGGUAAGCCUUCAGAUGAGUGAAAUGAUUUCAGAACUUAGUUGGAGUUUUGGAAUCCAGGAUUUCAGAAAUGUAGCAAACCUGCAUGAUGACAAUCCAGUGGGCAUAGUUCUGAGAGAGGAGUGCUGUAGUGGCCAAACAUGUUUUAGGAGUCUAGGUCAGACAACUGUGAGGUUACAGUUCAGUGGAUCUUCACAUGUAUGAUUAAAUCAGCUAUGAUGUGACAAGACUUGUAGUAUAAAGGAGAAUGCUGAACCAGAUGCCUGAAGUCUUUUCUUUAACUGCUUAUUUUAAAAAUUGUCACAUUGUAAGUGUAUAUGUUUAUAGGGUACAAUUUGAUGUUUCAGUACAUAUCUGUAUAUGGAUCAUGUUGUAUAAUGAUCCCAUCAGGAUAGUUAAUGUGUCCUUCACUUCAUGCAUUUGUUUGUGGUGAGACCAUUCAAAAACCUCUCCUCUAGCUAUUUUGUGAUACACAAUAUUUUGCUGUCAACCCUAGUCACCCUACUGUGCAAUAGAACACCAGAAUUUAUUCCUCCUAUCUAAUUGUAACUUUGUACCUGUUGAUUAACCUCUCCCCAUCUUUCUCUCCUCCCUUCCCUCCCUUCCCUCCCUUCCCUCCCCAGUUUCUGGUAACCAUUGAUCUACUCUCUGCUGCUAUAAAAUCAACAUGUGAAUUUUUUCAGAUUCCAUGUCUAAGUGAGAUCAUACGGUAUUUGCCUUUCUGUAUCUGGCUUAUUUCACUUAACAUGAUGUCAUCUAGAUUCAUCACAGAUUACAUUACAUUGAUGUUGUUGCAAAUAACAGGAUUUUAUUCUUUUUUAUGGCUGAAGAGUAUUCCAUUGUGCAUAUAUACCACAUUUUCUGUAUUCAUCCAUUGUUGGACAUGUAAGUUGAUUCCAUAUCUUGGCCAUUGGAACUAGUGCUGCAAUAAACAUGGGGAAGUAUAUAUGUCUUCAUCGUACUGAUCUCAUUUACCUUGUAUAUAUACCCAGUAGUGAAAUUAUUUGAUAGGUAGUGGUUCUAUUUUUAAUUUUUUGAGGAACCUCCAUAUAGUUUUUUAUAAUGGCUGUAUUAGCUUACAAUCCUACCAGCAGUGUGUAAGUGUUCCCCUUUUUUCACAUCCUUAUCAACACUUGUUUUCUUUUGUAUUUUUGACAAUAGCCAUUCUGACUGGCAUGAGGUUGCAUCUCAUUGUGGUUUUGAUUUGCAUUUUCCUGAUAAUUAGAGAUGUUGCACAUUUUUUCAUACACCUGUUGGGCAUUUUUGGUGUCCUUUUGAGAAAUAUCUACUCAGGUCAUUUGCUCACUUUUAAAUCAGAUUUUUUUUCUGCUAUUGAGUUAUGCAAGUUUUUAAAAACAUAAUCUGGGCAGUAACUCCUUGUCAGAUACAUAGUUUGCAAAUAUUUUCUCCUAUUCUGUAGGUUUUAUUUUCUCUCUGUUGUUUCCAUUGCUGUGUAAAAGCUUUUCAUAUUGCUGUAAUCCCAUUUGUCUGUUUUUGCUUUUGUUGCCUGCACUUUUGAAGUCUUAUUUUAAAAAAAUUAUUACCCAGCCCCAUGUCGUGAAGUGUUUCCUCUAUGUUUUAUUCUAUUUUAUAGUUUCAGAUUUUACAUUUAAAUCUUAAUCCAUUUUGAUUUGAUUUUUGUAUAUGGUGCAAGGUAGAGAUCUAGUCUCAUUCUUCUGUAUAUGGAUAUCCACUUUUCCCAGCACCAUUUAUUGAAGAGUCUUUUUACUUUUUAAUUUUAGGUUCAAGGGGUGCAGGUGCAGGUUUGUUACACAGGUAGAUUGUGUGAUGCUGAGGUUUGAAAUUCUAAUGAUCCCAUGACCCAAGUGGCAGAUACAGUACCUGAUAGGUAGUUUUCAACACUUACCCCUCCCUCUUUUCUCCCUUUUUUUGGAAUUCCUAGUGUCUGUUGUUCCUGUCUUUGUUCCAUUUGUACCCAGUAUUUAGCUUCCACUUACGAGAAUAUGUGGUAUUUGGUUUUCUGUUGCUGCGUUAAUUUGCCCAUGACAGUGGCCUUCAGUUGCAUCCAUGUUACUUCAAAGGACAUGAUUUCAUUCUAUUUUUAUGUCUGUGUAGUAUUCUAUGCUGCGUAAGUACCACAUUUUCUUUAUCCAAUCCACCAUUGAUAGGUGCCUGGGUUGAUUUCAUGUCUUUGCUAUUGUGAAUAGUGCUGCACUAAACAUGUGAAUGCAUGUAACUUUUUGGUAUUAAUAGAAUGAUUGAUUUUUCUUUGGGUAUAUACCCAGUAAUAGGAUUGUUGGGUUGAAUGAUAAUUUUAUUUUCUGUUCUUUGAGAAAUCUCCAAACUGCUUUUCACAGGGGCUGAGGUAGUUUACAUUCUCACCAACAUUGUAUAAGCAUUCCCUUUUCUCUGCAACCUCACCGUUAUCCAUUAUUUUUUGACUUUUUAUUAAUAGCCAUUCUGGCUGGUAUUAGAUGGUAUCUCACCGUAGUUUUGAUUUGCAUUUCUCUAAUGAUUAGUGAUGCUGAGCAUUUUUUUUGUAUGUUUCUUGGCUGCUUGUAUGUCUUCUUUUGAGCAGUGUCUGUUCAUAUCCUUUGCCCAUUUUUUUUUUUUUUUUGAGACAAGGCCUUGCCCUGUUGCCUAGGCUGGAGUGCAGUGGCAUGAUCAUGACUUGCUGCAGCCUCGACCUCUGGGGCUCAAGCAAUCCUCCCACCUUAGCCUCUUGAGUAGCUGGGACCACAGGUGUACGUAAACACACCCAGCUAAUUUUUAGUUUUUUGAUGGAGGCGAGGUCUCAUUUUAUUGCCCAGGCUGGUCUUGAACUCCUGGGCUCAAGGAACUCACCCACCUCUGCCUCCCAAAUUGCUGGGAUUACAGCUGUGAGCCACCAUGCCCGGCCUGCCCAAUUUUAAUGGGGUUAUUUGACUUUUGCUUGUUGAUUUGUUUAGUUCCUUAUAGAUUCUGGGCACUAGUCCUUUGUUGGAUGUAUAGUUUGUACAUAUUUUCUCCCAUUCUGUAGGCUGUCUGUUUACUCUGUUGAUAGUUUCUUCUGUUGUGCAGAAGCUCGUUGGUUAAGUAGGUCUCACUUGUCAGUUUUUGCUUUUGUUGCACUUACUUUUGAGGACUUAAUCAUAAAUUCUUUGCUUAGGCCAAUGUCUGGAAGAGUAUUUCUUAGGUUUUCUUUUAGGAUUUUCAUAAUUUGAAGUCUUACAUUUAAGUCUUUAAUCCAUCUUAGUUGAUUUUUGCAUAUGGUGAAAGGUAGAGGUCCAGUUUCAUUCUUCUGCAUAUGGUUAGCCACUUUUUGCAACACCAUUUAUUGAAUAGGGUUUCCCCAUUGCUUAUUUUUGUUGACUUUGUCAAAGAUCAGAUGGAUAUAGGUGUGCAGCUUUAUUUCAGGGGUCUGUAUCCUGUUACCUUGGUCUAUGUGUCUGUUUUUGUAUCAGUAUCAUGUUUUGUUUACUGUAGCCUUGUAGUAUAAUUUGAAGUUGGGUAAUGUGUUGCUUCCAGCUUUGUUCUUUUUGCUUAGGAUCAUUUUGACUAUUCAGGCUUUUUUUUGUUCAGUAUGAAUUUUAGAAUAGUUAUAAUUCUGUGAAAAAUGACAUUGGUAAUUUCAUAGGAAUAGCAUUGAAUUUGUAGAUUGCAUUGAGCAGUAUGGCCAUUUUAAUUAUAUUGAUCCUUCCAAUCCAUGUAUGUGGAAUGUUUUUCCAUGUGUUUGUGUCAUCCCUGAUUUCUUUCAGCAGUGUUUUGUAGUUCUCAUUGCAGCAAUCUUUAAUCUCUUUGGGUAGAUGUAUUUCUAGGUAUUUUUUUCUUUUCAACUGUUGUGAAUGGGAGUGUGUUUUUGAUUUGGGCAAGAGAGCAAGACUCCGUAUCCCCCCCCAAAAAAGAAAAAAAAAUGCUACUGACUUUUAUACAUUGAUUUUGCAUUCUGAAACUUUGCUGAAGUUGUUUAUCAGGUCUAGGAGUCUUUUGGCAGAACCUUUGGGUUUUUAAGGUAUAGAAUGCUAUCAUCAGUGAAGAGAGACAAUUUGACUUCCUUUUUUUCUAUUUGGAUAACUUUUAUUUUUGUCUCCUGACGAUUGCUUUGGCUAGGACUUCCAGUACUAUGUUGAAUACAAGUAGUGAGGUUGACAUCCUUGUUUUUUUCCAGUUCUUAGAUGCCUCCAACUUUGCCUAUUCACUAUGAUGUUAGCCAUGGGUUUGUCAGAGGUGGCACUUAUUAUUUUUAGCUAUGUUCCUUUGAUGGCUAGUUUGUUGAGGAAUUUUAUCAUGAAGGGAUAUUAGAGUUUAUCAAAAUCUUUUUCUGCAUCUAUUGGGAGUUAGGGAGGAGUCUCUCCUUGAAUUUUUGGAAUGUUUCAAUAGGAUUGGUUCCAGCCCUUCUUUGUAUGUGCGGUAAAAUUUGGCUGUGAAUCCAUCUGGUCCAGGGCUUUUUUUUUGGUUGGUAGGUCUUUUUUAUUACUGAUUCAAUUUCAUUACUCAUUAUCAGUAUGUUCAGGAUUUCUGUUUCUUCCUGCUUCAAUCGUAGGAGGUUUUGUGUUUUCAGGAAUUUAUUCAUUUCCUCUAGAUUUUUCUAAUCUGUAUGCAUAGCAAUGUUCAUAGUAGACUCUGGGGGCCUUUUAUGUGUCUGUGGAAUCAGUUGUAAUGUCACCCUUUGUCAUUUCUGAUUGUGCUUACUUGGAUAAUCUUUUUUUUCUUUGUUAAUCUAGGUAGCCAUCUAUCAAUCUUGUUUAUCCUUUCAAAGAACUAAUUUUUUACUUCAUUGAUUCUUUGUAUGGUUUUUGGAUCUCAAUUUCAUUUAGUUCUGCUCUGAUUUUAGUUAUUUCUUUUCUUCACCUCCAAGAUUUCAGUUUGGUCAUUUUAAUAUCAUUCUUUUUAAUGUCUAUCUCUUUGUUGAAUUUCUCAUUCAGAACAUGAAUGUUUUCUUAGUUUCAUUAAAUUGUUUGUGUUCUCUUGUAUCUCACUGAAUUUCCUUAAGAUCAUUAUUUUGAACUUCUUUUCAAGCAUUUCAUAAAUGUCCUUUCCUUCGGAGCCUGUUACUAGAGACUAUGUUCCUUUGGGAGUGUCAUGUCCUUACUUUUUCUUGUUUCUUGUGUCCCUUUGUUGAUAUCUGCACAUCUAAUAGAAUAGGGAUUUUUUUUUGUUUGUUUUAUGGAGUAGCUUUUGUAGGAAGAGAUCUUUUUCUUGUAGACGCAUCUAGAGUAUUAAUUGGGUAUGGUGCGUUGGCUUUAUUUCUGGUGAACUCAGUAACAUGGUCCCCAUGCAGUUUCUUCAGCUAUUAUUCUCAUCAGUGAUGUCUGUGAUUGCUUCAGUGACCUAGGCUGUGGGAGUUUUGAUGGUAUUGGCACAGGUUUGCUGGGAGCAGGGGCACUGGUCUGGUUGUCAGGCUGGGUACAUGCAGUCACAGAGGGCUGACAGGCUAUCUGGUGGGCUUUCUGGAGAGGCAGAGCUGCCGCUGGACUGGAUGUUGGGGUGAGUGUGGGUGUGGUGGUGCCAGGUGGCCCUGCAGUGGUGUAUCCACGAAAGCAGGGAUACCACAGGACUAGCUGUCAGGCUGGGCAUGGGCACAUAUGGGCUCAGUGAUCUAGUCAGCUUUGCAGCACAGGUGUUUGUGAAGUGGCUGGCCAGCUGUUCAGCGGCUUCCUUACUGUAUAGGUUUGCCUGUUCCCUGGGAGUGGGGGUAGUGUGCUAUGUAGGUUCAGAUGCCAGGGUCUCAGUUGUUAUGUGGCCUAGGCUUCACACAGCUGGGGUCAUAGUGCUGCAGGCAUCCAGAUGAACUUGGUAGAAUGAUGGCGAGUCUCAGAGACAGUGAGAUUCUGUCACAGAGAUAGAGACUGGCUCUUAGUGCAGGGCACACUCUAGCUGAGGGUCCAGUGUCAACAAGGCAUUGAGCAUAGCAGCUUACAUUGUUGAGGUGGGAGGUGCUCAAGGUAGGCUUUUCUGAGGCAAUGCAGCUAAGCAAACUCCUGAUUACUCUCCAAACUGAAUUUGGAGCUUUUGAGGACUGGAGGACUCUCCUGUAGCAAGGACUGGCAUUUGUGGUGGUAAUGGGCACCACUGCAUAUAUCCAGCAUACCUCUUCCCUGUAAGAAGUUCCCCCUGACUUCAAGCUGAUCUUGGGAGACAAUGUGGCAAAGUCAGGGUGCCUUUCUCACCUCUCUAUGGUGCUAUCUGUGCUUCUGUUCUCCACAGGGAUAUUGCUGCUCCCCUGGUGUCUGCUAGCAUACUUCCUCAGUCACUUUAGUUGACAUAUAGUUGUUUAUUUAUUGUUUUGGUCCCUUCAUGUGGGAGAGAAGUCAAAUCGACUUGGCAACCUUGAUGAUGUCACUACCUGGGAUGCAUGGAGUCUUACUGAUUUUGAGGGAGUGGUUUGGAGGUUGGUAAUCAUGGUAAUGUGGAUGGGAAGAGAAUAGUGGUUAUAUAUAGACAUGAGAGUUUCAAAGGAGAGGGCAUUGUUGAGGGAUAUUUUUUAAAAUCUGAAAAUCACAGUGUGGACUGAGAGUGGUAGCCCAGCAUUUCCUUCUCUGGUUACAUGGAUUCAAAGGUGAGUGAAAGCAUGUUUUCUUUCUCUCAGCAUCUUUGUUACUUCACUUCUCGAAUAAGUUUCUCUUUGUUAGAAUUAGGUUCAGAAUAGCAAUUUCCUUAUUGGUUACUCUGUUUUCUGAGAAGUAGAAUUAUCAACAAAGAAACAGGAAUAUUUCAGAUCAUCUACUAUGUAAGAAUCAAAUGAGAUUGUGUAUUUCAGAGUGUUUUAAAAAGAGCAAAGUAUUCCAAAUAUCUUUAUUCCUAUUAAUCACGUUAAAAAUGGAAUGAGAACUGAACUACCCAUAAAGUUUCUACAAAUGAUGCCAUUAUUUUAUAGAUGAGUAAAAUUUUAAUUGAAAAAACCCAACAUUGUAUAAAUUAUUAAGUUCUUAAGUUCUUAAGCCCUUUUAUACUUGGUCCUGUGAUCCUGGGGUGGUGACUCUGUGGACCCCAUUUUGACUUUAUAAGCUGCUUUCUGUUGGGGUAUACCAGUAGGGGGUUUAAAAGGGAGACUGGUAGGCCGGGUGAGAAAGGACUUGAUUCUUUCCAUGGGCUUGCAGCUUUCUUUCUGCCUUCUGUCUGUUCCUGUGAGCAUCAGUCCUGCAACACUUCCUCACCAGGCAGGUAAAAUUCCCUCCUAUAUAUAUAUUUUGAGAUUGCGUCUCCUCUGUAGCUCAAGCUGGGGUGCAGUGGUGUGAUCUUGGCUCACUGCAACCUCUGCCUCCGCAGAAAAUUCUUGUGCCUCAGCCUCCUGAGUAGCUGGGAUUACAGGCAUGGGGCACCACACCUGGCUAAUUUUUUGUAGAGACGGGAUUUUGCCAUGUUGGCAAGGCUAGUCUUAAACUCCUGGCCUCAAGUGGUCCACCAGUCUUGGCCUCCCAAAGUGCUGGGAUUAUAGACAUGAGCCACUGUCCCUGGUCUCCUCCUAUAGUUUAUCUAAAGCUAGUAUGCAAAUUUUCCAACACCCGAAGAAAAAAAUUUAUCAUGUACAAUCCCCUUUGUUCCCAACAUGUGCACCAAGCAAGUGGCAUCUCUUCUUCAGAGGUUUGGGUCCCCAUGGGAUCCUUCUUCCACAUUUCUAAGUUUUAACAACCUCUUCCCUUGUUUCCCCAACUCUAUCAGUGGUACCUAUUUCUGUAAAGUUGCUCUAUCUAUGAUUUCUUAGGGGGUCUCUUUUGUCCUCCAGUUUUCAGUUCUUUGUAUUAAAUUCUUUCUGUCCAAAUGGCUGAUAUGGUUUCUGCCUCUUUAUUGAACCCAGACUAAUAGAAUUGUCAUACUAAUUUGUUAAUUAGCAAGACAAUUUAGGGUCAUAUCUUAACUGUACAUUCUGUCUAGUAUUUACUAUUUAUACUGUUAUCCAUAAUACUUAGUGAAUAAUGAUGACAUACACUAAAAAUUAAUUAAAACACAGAUAUUAUCUAUAAUAAUAAAAACCAAGUUUAGCACUAUGAAAAACUUACUACAUUGCUUUUAUUUUUAUCAUUUUAUUUCAUAGUGGUGAAAACUUCAUCAGAACCUCAC